GGGCGGCCGGCGGCCGUGGAGGGGGACAGACAGUCGAUAUUUCGGGCCGAGGUUGAGAAGGAAGGGCGGGGAAGGGAUACAAGCUGGCAGGGUAUUUUUGAAGACCCUGACCUGGAGUUACACGUUGACUUCGGUUCUUUGUGGGAUUGGGACUCACUCUUGGGGUUUCACAACUGACCAUUAUUCGACAUGCCAAGGAAGUGGCCCAAGAGCUUAGCUCACCUUCAGAGGGCCAGGAUCUCUGGAGAUGGGCAGAUCGAAGGCCAGUGUGCCGGCAGGAAAUCGGUGUGCCAUGGGAGCUGGAAGAUCUCUGGCUGUGUGCCCAGAGACCUGAGAUCUUUGGGGACAGAGCUCGGAAAAAGCGACGCAACGGACUUUCAACAUUGUAGACCAGCAAGUUGCUUGUUAUGUCUCCCCUCUCGCUGUGAAACAGAGACACCUCUUUCUCCCUUAUUAGGGAGAGAGAGAGAGCCUGUGGUAUGUCAAAUACUGGGUGAACGAGUAGUCUGUGGGAUAUUGAGGCUAAAGGAAUUCAGCGGGUCCUUGUCGACUCUUUUUCCAUUGAUGCAUUUUACAUGAUACAUCUCGGCUUGGUACGGCAACUGCUCUGCACGUGACUGCAGGAAACUGCAGAGCGUGUAGAUGUAGCUCAGCACAUCAAAGGAACCAGCCUCCCCUCUAUGGACUCUGCACUUCUCACCACCUCAGUAAAGCAACCAGCAUGUUCAAAGACCCCACUCACCCCAGGCAUUCUCUCUUCUCCCCUCCAACUGAGCAGAAGAUACAAAAACCUGAAAGCACAUUCCACCAGGCUCAAGGACAGUUUCUAUUGUGUUGUCAUCAGACACUCGAACAGACCUUUUGUACAAUGAGGUGAAUCUUACAAUGUGCCUCAUUAGAUCUUGCUCCUUAUCAUUUACUGCACUUUCUCUGUAGUUGUUAAACUUUCAUUCCACAUUGUUAUUGUUUUACCUUGUUCUACCUCAAUGUGUGAUGUUUUCAUCUGUAUGCAAGACAAAUCUUUUACUGUAUUUUGGCACAAGAGUAAACCAAUACCAAUAGACACGCAAGAGAUUCUGUAGAUGUUGGAAAUUCUGAGAAGCACACAUGAAAUGUUGGAGAAACUCAGCAGCUCAGUACUUAUGGAGGGGAAAUGAACAGUUGUUGUUUUGGAUCGAGACUCUACAUCAGAACCAGAAGGAAAGAGAGCAGAAUUGAUAUUGGGAGGGGGAGGAGUGCAAGCUGGUGGGCAAUAGGUGAAUCCAGAGGAGGUAAGGGGGUAGACAGGUGGGCACAGGGGAAAGUGGGGAUGAUGUGGGAGGCUGGGAGGCGAUAGGUGGAAGAUGCAAAGUGCUGACCAUGAUAGAAUCUGAGAGGAGAGGACAGUAGACUAUGGAAUAAGGGGAAGAAGUUGGGGAACCAGAGGGUAAAAGGUAGGUUAGCUAACAUUCAGAGGGUGUGAGAAUCAAAUCUAAUAAAUUAAAUUAAAUCUAAUAACACAGGUUGAAUGUCCAAGUUGGUGAGGUCUUCCAUUGAUUCUAUUAUGGUUAUUAUUCUAUUAUUGAUUUAUUGAGUGUGCACACAAGAGAAUGAAUUUCAGGGUUGAAUAUGUUGACAUAUAUAUGUACUGUGGUAAUAAAUUUACUUUGAACUCUGAACUUUAAACAUUUUGUGAGA